rnacentral:lncRNA from 1 species
UCCGGAAGCAGCAAGCGUGCCUGGGCAGAGACCCCCAGAGUGUAAAGAGGUCCUGGGACAGGCUUUGCACGUUCCACAAGAGCAGUUCUGUCUGCACAAUCCCCGGCCACAGAGACACACAGCUGACCCCAUGGCGCCGCAGCUCGUGGGCACAGUCAGCAGCCAGCUUGUCACACUGUGGAGAGGCGGAAGGCAGGGUAAGAGCCACCUAGCCAUGUCACUUUCCUGCCCUGCCCUCUCUGCUUCUACUGUGAAUGCUCCACCCACCCUGUCCUUCCCAGGAGCCCCAAGGUCUCAGCUGCCCACGCUCCCCAGUGUGAUGCCUACUCUAGCCAACCAAGAGGAGCACAAGCAAAGGAACUGUCCAUGGAUGAGGCAGAGGAGGAGCUGAGAGGAGCCAGCCUUACCAUUCUGACCACUGGGGAUUGUACCUCCUGAGCUAUAGUGUCUCGCUGUGUCGUCUAGACUGGAGUGCAGUGGUGUGAUCAUGGCUCAACUCCUAGGCUCAAGCGAUCCUCCUGCCUCAGCCUCCGGAGUAGCUGCUGGGACUGCAGGAACGUGCCACCAUGCCUGGCUCAAACACAAAGUUUUUUCAUAAAACUCACUUGGCGGCAAAAUUCUACCUUACCUGAAGUUAUUUACGGGGUUUUUAAUUUCCACUUUGAAUAAAUAUUCACAUCUUGUUG